rnacentral:lncRNA from 1 species
AGCUCGUAGGGCAGCCUUGAGCUUAGCAGACCGCAGGAGUUGUGCGGCUGGCUCGUUGUCACUAUUUAUUGGUCUUACGGCAUUGCAAAAGCGUAUUCAGCGAGGUGCUCCAGAGGGAGCUCGGAGGGCUGCAGCUGGGGAGCCUGCUUGUCCUCCGGCUUUCCCUUCCUGCCUCGGCUCAGGGCUGCAGAGUUGGAGCUAACUUUGUCGUUCCUUUGAUAAGAGCUCUGGUUUCCCGUGUCAAACCGGCUCCAAGAGAAGUCUUGGGAUCUAAACUGGGCUGUCACAUUUAUGGAAAUCCUGUGAUCCCACGGAGUCCAUUUGGGACUCUGCAUGGGUGUCCAUUCAUGGGAGAGAGGAGACCCGUAUCAAUACUCACUUGAAACCACUCAACGCCUGGCGGCCUCUCGCACUGCAGAACUGACUGAUAUUGAUUCGGAUUGAGGCAUCUGCUGCAUUUUAGCAAGCGCCCUAUUUAAUCUCCGUGUCCUGUGCCGCUGUCUCGUCCUUGUCCCUUUUCAAAGUCACAGUGAUUUGGAACCCACUUAGGGCUUUUAGUUUGAUGGGCCGGCGCUCUGCAGCGCGCUGACCUCUAGACCGACCAGAGUUUCCCCCUUUUCUUUCUGCAAUUAUUUUUUCCUCCACAAUUUCCUUUUUGAAUAUUUAAACACGUAAAAAUGUAAGGUAACCAAAACAAACUACCAAAAGUAAAAAAUAAAAAAUAAAGCGUUGCAAGUUUUUUUGUAUACAACGCCCUUACAGAAUGAG